AUUGAACGCUGGCGGCAUGCUUUACACAUGCAAGUCGAACGAGUGGCGGACGGGUGAGUAAUGUAUCGGAAAGUACCGAGUAAAGGGGGAUAACUGUUCGAAAGGACAGCUAAUACCGCAUAUUAUCCGAGCGGCCCAUGUUGGAUUAGCUGGUUGGCGGGGUAAAGGCUCACCAAGGCGACGAUCAGUAGCGGGUCUGAGAGGAUGAUCCGCCACACUGGGACUGAGACACGGUCCAGACGCCUACGGGAGGCAGCAGUGGGGAAUUUUGGACAAUGGGCGCAAGCCUGAUCCAGCCAUGCCGCGUGUCUGAAGAAGGCCUUCGGGUUGUAAAGGACUUUUGUCAGGGAAGCGGUACCUGAAGAAUAAGCACCGGCUAACUACGUGCCAGCAGCCGCGGUAAUUC
rnacentral:rRNA from 1 species